ACGGAAGGCAGCAGUGAGGAAUAUUGGUCAAUGGGCGGAAGCCUGAACCAGCCAAGUCGCGUGAAGGAUGAAGGUAUUAUGUAUUGUAAACUUCUUUAGACGUAGAGUAAUAAGGGGAUCGCGAUCCCUGAUGCAAGUACACUGAGAAUAAGGAUCGGCUAACUCCGUGCCAGCAGCCGCGGUAAUACGGAGGAUCCGAGCGUUAUCCGGAUUUAUUGGGUCUAAAGGGUGCGCAGGCGGCUUUUUAAGUCAGUGGUUAAAUCGUGACGCUCAACGUCAUCACGCCAUUGAUACUGGAGAGCUUGAUUGCGGUCGAGGUUUGCGGAAUUCGUUGUGUAGCGGUGAAAUGCAUAGAUAUGACGAAGAACACCGAUUGCGUAGGCAGCAGACCAGGCCGUAAAUGACGCUCAUGCACGAAAGUGCGGGGAUCGAACAGGAUUAGAUACCCUGGUA
rnacentral:rRNA from 1 species